AGUAGCUUGCUACUUUGCUGACGAGCGGCGGACGGGUGAGUAAUGCUUGGGAACAUGCCUUGAGGUGGGGGACAACAGUUGGAAACGACUGCUAAUACCGCAUAAUGUCUACGGACCAAAGGGGGCUUCGGCUCUCGCCUUUAGAUUGGCCCAAGUGGGAUUAGCUAGUUGGUGAGGUAAUGGCUCACCAAGGCGACGAUCCCUAGCUGGUUUGAGAGGAUGAUCAGCCACACUGGGACUGAGACACGGCCCAGACUCCUACGGGAGGCAGCAGUGGGGAAUAUUGCACAAUGGGCGCAAGCCUGAUGCAGCCAUGCCGCGUGUGUGAAGAAGGCCUUCGGGUUGUAAAGCACUUUCAGUCAGGAGGAAAGCGUGGUGGUUAAUACCCAUCAUGUGUGACGUUACUGACAGAAGAAGCACCGGCUAACUCCGUGCCAGCAGCCGCGGUAAUACGGAGGGUGCGAGCGUUAAUCGGAAUUACUGGGCGUAAAGCGUACGCAGGCGGUUUGUUAAGCGAGAUGUGAAAGCCCCGGGCUCAACCUGGGAACUGCAUUUCGAACUGGCAAACUAGAGUGUGAUAGAGGGUGGUAGAAUUUCAGGUGUAGCGGUGAAAUGCGUAGAGAUCUGAAGGAAUACCGAUGGCGAAGGCAGCCACCUGGGUCAACACUGACGCUCAUGUACAAAAGCGUGGGGAGCAAACGGGAUUAGAUACCCCGGUAGUCCACGCCGUAAACGAUGUCUACUAGAAGCUCGGAGCCUCGGUUCUGUUUUUUCAAAGCUAACGCAUUAAGUAGACCGCCUGGGGAGUACGGCCGCAAGGUU
rnacentral:rRNA from 1 species